AAUCAACGCUGGCGGCGUGCCUCAGACAUGCAAGUCGAACGAUUAAAGCUCUCUUCGGAGAGUGCAUAGAGUGGCGCACGGGUGAGUAACACGUAAGUAAUCUACCCUCGAGUGGGGAAUAACAGUCGGAAACGACUGCUAAUACCGCAUAAUGCAGCGGCACCGCAAGGUGACAGUUGUUAAAGGAGCAAUCCGCUUGAGGAGGAGCUUGCGGCAGAUUAGCUAGUUGGUAAGGUAAUGGCUUACCAAGGCUACGAUCUGUAUCCGGUCUAAGAGGACGGUCGGACACACUGACACUGAAUAACGGGUCAGACUCCUACGGGAGGCAGCAGUCGGGAAUUUUGGGCAAUGGGCGAAAGCCUGACCCAGCAACGCUGCGUGAAGGAUGAAGUAUUUCGGUAUGUAAACUUCGAAAGAAUGGGAAGAAUAAAUGACGGUACCAUUUAUAAGCUCCGGCUAACUACGUGCCAGCCGCCGCGGUAAUAC
rnacentral:rRNA from 1 species